GAGAGAGAGAGGGAGAAUCCCAAGCAGACUCCUCACUGUCAACACAGAACCCCAAGUGCCGUUCGAUCUGACAAACUGAGAUCAUGACCUGAGCCGAAAUCAAGACUCGGGCGCUUAACUGACAAACCCACCCAGGUGCCCCUGGUCUUUUUUUCUUUAGUGGACUGUAUAUACAUCCGUUUCUUGUGUCUGCCUUGGAAUCAUUCUGUUGGUUCCCUCAGGAGUGAGCUAAGUGAAACUCUGACAUAUGCUCUCCGUAUAUGCCUUUUGGCACUUUGAGAAUUACACAUUUGAAUGUACUCAAGGUGACACCGGGCUACUAUCUUCACUCCUGGCAGAUGGGUCUCGUCUUUGGGGCUUCCGUUGUUUUGUCUUCUUCUGAGUCCUCCCCGUUCUCCGUGGCUCUGGAGAGGAAUCACACACAGGGCACAAGUCAGGAGAGAGGUUCUCCUGCAUCACUCCCCCGGUCCUCAGCUUAGAUUUCAUCUCCUCUGGAAACCGACCAUUAUCCUUCUAUCUGAUCUCACGCCCCACAACCUCCCCCGGGCAAUGUAUUCACCAACUGUCCUGAAAUUGCUUAUUUACUCUUCUGUUUCUUUCUCGGUGACUUCCGUGGGAGCACAGACUCUAUUUUGUUUGACUUUUUUUAUCCUCGGCUUUCAGCACAGUGUCCAGCUGUAGGUACUCACCCAGUAUUUUAACGAGUGAAUCAUGGGAUGAGUAUUAACCUCUUUGUAUUUCAAGGGUAGCUACUGCUUCCUUACGUGUAAUUUAUUGUUCUAACAAGUGAUGCCAAUCUUUAGCUUGUGUGGUUCUCACAGCUCUUCCUUUGGGGGUUGUGGUGGUGCAUGUUUGUGCAUAACAACGUCUCCACCUUACAUUCAUCGCUUCUGGUCUCCUCUCUACUCUUUUCAGAGCACGGCUCCUUUAAGUCCAGGAGAAGCUGGUUUGCAGAGGAAGUCCGACCAGACACUGAGCAGAGUGAAUGGCUGUGCCGAUCUAGCCACACCUAUUUCAUAUGUUUCUUUAGUGUCUUUCAGCUUGCCUAUUCGUCCAUCCGUGCCUGAUUUGUUCUUAGAUUUGCCCCCAAGACGCUGGUCUUGGCUUGUCCUAGUUUGAACUUGGUGUCUCUGGCGAUUGGCUCACGUUCUGACCUCCACCCAUCCCCAAUUCUGCUUUUCUACUCUUUGGCGUCUCCAAGCACCUGACCUCAGCUCAACCUGCCUCUGGCCUUGUUUCUCCUGCCUGACACCAACAGCUGGAAAGAACCCUGCCCUUCUGUGAGGAGAGAGAUGAGGCUCAGUGUGGUUUACCGGAAAUAAAGCUUGCAUUAUGGGAGGGAACAAACAGUCUCCAGGUGAGAAAUUAUGGGAACUGUCACGCCAAAUCAGCUGGUCGCCCUUAUGUCAUGGGAUCCGGACCAGGAGAAGAAGGCUGGCCGGGCGGAGUGCAUGUGAUCAGCGUGUGACGGGCCGUGCAUCCAGCAUGCUGAGGGCACCGGCUCUCCUGGCCCAAAUAACCACAAAAAGGAACAGAUUUCAGACAGGCAGUUUUACAGCGUCCCUGUGGUUAUUUUGCCAACUUCCAGCCACUUCUUUCUCUAGCACUGAGCCAAAGAGACACAUAACCAUUAUCAAAAUGUUCUGAAUAUAUAGGUCACUCCGUUUCUUUUAGUUAUCUUUAAUCUGAGGUGUCUCGAAUUACAUUUCCACACCAAUCCACUCAAUUUACAUUUAGCUCAAGCUUUCAAAUUAAUUGCAUCCUGAAUUUAAAAAACAAAACAAAACAAAACCGUUUAGGGAGGUGAAGACUGUUAAAAGGGUGUUGUCUUUUCUUCUCUGUCGCUGGAAAGAUUGAGAUGACCGGGUUUUCCAGGGAGCCUUUAAAAGGUUUUUCGUUGUAGCCACGGCCAGUUGUGAUAUUUGCCCCAAACCCUCAUCUGUAGCAACGCACCUGCUGUGAAUGUUUCAUUUUCUGUGGUUUUUUAAAAUUUCUCCAUCACGUUU